ACUCAAAUGAAUAGACGGGGGCCCGCACAAGCGGCGGAGCAUGUUGCUUAAUUCGAUGCAACGCGAAGAACCUUACCUAGGUUGAACUACGCAGGAAAAGCUGCAGAGAUGCAGUGUCCGAAAGGGUCUGCGAUAGGUGGUGCAUGGCUGUCGUCAGCUCGUGUCGUGAGAUGUUGGGUUAAGUCCCGCAACGAGCGCAACCCUUAUUCUAUGUUGCCAGCGGAUAAUGCCGGGGACUCGUAGAAGACUGCCGGGGUCAACUCGGAGGAAGGUGGGGAUGACGUCAAGUCAUCAUGCCCCUUAUGCCUAGGGCUGCAAACAUGCUACAAUGGCCAGUACAAAGGGCUGCUAUCCCGCGAGGGUGAGCGAAUCCCAUAAAGCUGGUCUCAGUUCGGAUUGGAGUCUGCAACUCGACUCCAUGAAGUCGGAGUCGCUAGUAAUCCCGGAUCAGCAACGCCGGGGUGAAUACGUUCCCGGGCCUUGCACACACCGCCCGU
rnacentral:rRNA from 1 species